rnacentral:rRNA from 1 species
GAGUGAGAAUGUUGGCAUGAGUAGCGAGAUGUGGGUGAGAAUCCCACAGGCCGUAAACCCAAGGUUUCCAGGGGAAGGUUCGUCCGCCCUGGGUUAGUCAGGACCUAAGCCGAGGCCGAAAGGCGUAGGCGAUGGACAACAGGUUGAUAUUCCUGUACCACCAAUAACCGUUUGAGAAAUGGGAUGACACAGAAGGAUAAGCUAACCGCACUGUUGGUUAUGUGCGGGCAAGUAUUGAGGCAGUUCUAAUAGGCAAAUCCGUUAGAAUAAUGCUAGGGUACGAUGCGGAGCGAAAUUUAGUAGCGAAGUAGCUGAUUUCACACUGUCGAGAAAAGUCUCUAUCGAGGUUAAAGGUGCCUGUACCGCAAACCGACACAGGUGGGUGAGGAGAGUAUCCUAAGGCCAGCCAGAGAACUGUUGUUAAGGAACUCGGCAAAAUGACCCCGUAACUUAGGGAGAAGGGGUGCCUUCGAAAGAAGGCCGCAGAGAAUAGGCCCAAGCGACUGUUUACCAAAAACAUAGGUUUCUGCUAAGUCGCAAGACGAUGUAUAGGAGCUGACGCCUGCCCGGUGCUGGAAGGUUAAGGGGAUCUGUUAGAGCAAUCGAAGCAGUGAACUUAAGCCCCAGUAAACGGCGGCCGUAACUAUAACGGUCCUAAGGUAGCGAAAUUCCUUGUCGGGUAAGUUCCGACCCGCACGAAAGGCGUAACGAUUUGGGCACUGUCUCAACAACAGACUGGGUGAAAUUGUAGUACCGGUGAAGAUGCCGGUUACCUGCGACAGGACGGAAAGACCCCAUGGAGCUUUACUGUAGCUUGACAUUGAGUCUCGGUGCUACAUGUACAGGAUAGGUGGGAGGCUAUGAAGCAUGGACGUCAGUUUGUGUGGAGCCAUCCUUGGGAUACCACCCUUGUAGUACUGGGAUUCUAACCAGCUGCCUUGAAUCAGGUAGUGGGACACUGUCAGGUGGACAGUUUGACUGGGGCGGUCGCCUCCUAAAGAGUAACGGAGGCGCUCAAAGGUUCGUUCAGUACGGUCGGAAAUCGUACGUAGAGUGUAAAGGCAGAAGAGAGCUUGAUUGCAAGACAUACAGGUCGAGCAAGGACGAAAGUCGGACUUAGUGAUCCGGUGGUACCGCAUGGAAGGGCCAUCGCUCAACGGAUAAAAGCUACCCUGGGGAUAACAGGCUGAUCUCCCCCAAGAGUCCACAUCGACGGGGAGGUUUGGCACCUCGAUGUCGGCUCAUCACAUCCUGGGGCUGUAGUAGGUCCCAAGGGUUGGGCUGUUCGCCCAUUAAAGUGGUACGCGAGCUGGGUUCAGAACGUCGUGAGACAGUUCGGUCCCUAUCCGUCGCAGGCGUAGGAAAUUUGAGGAGACCUGUCCUUAGUACGAGAGGACCGGGAUGGACGUACCGCUGGUGUACCAGUUGUUCUGCCAAGGGCAUAGCUGGGUAGCUAAGUACGGAAAGGAUAAGCGCUGAAAGCAUCUAAGCGCGAAGCCUACUUCGAGAUAAGAUUUCCCACCGCAAGGUUAAGACCCCAUGAAGACUACAUGGUUGAUAGGUCAGAGGUGGAAGUGUGGUAACAUAUGUAGCUUACUGAUACUAAUAGGUCGAGGACUUGACCAA